CUUCCUCCAACUCAAGCUUAAUUAUGUGAAGCUUUUAAAUAUAAAAAUUUAAAAUAAAUAAAAAUUUAUUAAUAUUGAUUGACUUAUCUGUUGUUAUAGCUGUGACAAUAAGCUCAGCUAAUCGUGCAGAUGUGGAUCCUGAAGAAUCUCAACCAUCAAGUUGUAGACGGCAUCCCAGAAGUUCUAAUGUCACUAGAAAAAAGUCUUUGCACGACCUCCUUGACACGUGCAUCACCCCAUGUCUGGGUCG
rnacentral:lncRNA from 1 species